CAAAUUCUCACUGGUGAAGAACUAGCCAGGUCUAAAAGGUUACUCUCCACUGCAAGCCUGGAGAGUCCACGGCACAUUCACCAGGGUUGAUUGCUACCUGGGCGGGCUACAUUCGCCAAUGGCUAAUGACACUGGCUAAUCUUGGAAGUCACAUUUAGGUCUUCAAAAGGUAUAAACCAUAGUGAUCCCUUUGGUGAUUGCCAGUUUUAGGCUAG